AAGUCGUAACAAGGUUUCCGUAGGUGAACCUGCGGAAGGAUCAUUAAAAAUAUAAACUAUAUAAAAUAUUAUAUAUAAAUAUUUUUAUUUAUUAUAAUAGAAAAAUAUAAAAGAUUUAUAUAAAUUUAUUUUUAUAUAAAAAUUUUAUAUUUUUCGGUGAGAAUGAUAACUCUCACCAUUAAAAAAUUAAUAGUGUCAUAAAAAAAUUAUAAUAUAAAAUUUUAAAUUAAUAUUGUCUAUGAAUUAUUUUUAUUUUAAUAAAUAAAAUAUAACUUUUAACAAUGGAUCUCUUGGCUCUUA
rnacentral:misc_RNA from 1 species